GUGAAAGAGAGGUGUCGGCAUUGCACAGUGAACUCAACCAAAUAACGGCCUGAAGAACAAUUGUGAAGGGGCUUGCACACCAUCGGAAGCAAUGGCCAAUGCAACACCUCGGAGAAGUCAACGGCGUGCAUCCAUUGAAGCGACAACUAAAAUUCAAGGACAUGGUGGGUACUUUUCUAGAUGAUGUCCGAGACUAUGAGAGAGCAGCGAGAGUUCUAUUGCUGGAGCUAAAAAGAAUGCAAAUGCGUUGGAGGGAUAUGAAGAAGUUUUGAUGAAUUGGCCAAGAUUCAAUUGAAUGUAAUAAUUUAUUUUACUACUACUUAUGUUUGAAAGUGCCACGAACUAUGUAGACAACCAUGUGACUAUUUAAUUUUGAAAGUCUUAGACUAUUAAA